GCUGAAGGAAGAUGACUGCAACUCUUAGAAGAUCCAACUUCAGGGGUUUGAAUUCUCAACCAGAGUUUGGGUUUUCUAAAUGCAAUAUAUGAUGGUGCUUUGGAAUCACAGAACCAAGAAGAGGAAAGCCUAGAACCUGAGUCCAAAGUGUUGCCCAGGCUAUGAUGCAAAAUGUCAAACAAUUUGGAAACAAUGACCACAAUACAAUCAAACUCCACAUAUGAGCACAUGAAGAAAGUCCUCCUAUUUCAUUGCAGCAAGUACUGAAUUCUGAGUGAAGAAGUAUGUUUUCUGGAAAGAGUUUAUUUUUAGGUUCUAAGUGCUGGCAUUUAAGGAUACAUGAACAGGACUCUUGAGGAGAGAUAAAAGCAUGUCUAUUCAUAUUUAAUACCAUUUUUCUUAGUGAUAUUGCUCUCUAUUUUUUUAAAGCCCAUUAAAAUGCACCAUGUGUUCAAGGCAGACCUAGCACACAGAAUACUUCAAAACUAGUGUAUAUAGAUAUAUGGCACCAAGAAUCAGAAAGUGGGCCACUUCAUCUACAUCUGAAUAUGGUUGCCAACUAACUAGAAUAAAACUGGCUAGACCUGCUGGUUUGUGCCAUUAACAGCAGCUUGAUAUGUAAACAUGAUAUGCUGUGAAAAGCUGUUACCUGCUGAUUUUUGUAAAUCAAGUUGAAAUUUUAUUUCAAAUUUUCACUGAGUCUCUCAGAUAACUGUGUUUCUAAGAACUAUGAGCAUAAAAUUGAUACUUGUUUGGAUGUAUAUCAAGAUGCAACUGUUGUCUUUUGCUUUCAAUGGGAUGUCCAGUUGGAUACAAAUUCCUACUCUUAUACCUCUGUAAAGUUUGUGCAGAAGCAUGUGCAUUUAGCCAUUUUUUUUAAUUUUAAAAAGUAAAUAAAAUAGAAACUGACAGGAUAAUUGUCUAUA